AGGAUGGCACAAACGAACGAAGCAAGUCGCCGCCAAUGCGAAGUUUUUGGCUUGGCCAACUUGCAGAAUCAGUCGUCAGUUUGUCCUAAGCGGAUUUGGUCGACACGUGUAUGUGUAUGUGGUUGAGAUAUAGAUGUACGAUUUCGAGAACGAUUCCGAGUUCCGAUUUUUCCGAUGAAGAAAAUCCAGGCAGUACAGCAGCACAGUAAAGUCGUGUAGAUUGGCGCGUGAAUUUAACGCUUGGCCUAGGUCACGUAUCGCACGUGUUUCUGACAGCCAGCAGGACCUCCCCGGCAGGACCUCCCCCGCAGCAGGACCUCUCUGUGUGUUUUUUCGGCGAGUGUGUGUGCCUUUGAUUAAGUGUUCGCCUUGCAUGUGUGCGGUUGACAUUCGAUUUACUUUCGCCAAGUUACCGGAAUAAAAAAAAACCCGAGCAACGGACGAACACUUCCCGCAGACUUUUGCGCCAGAUCCAAGUCCCCAUCCUGAGUGCAUGUGUGCGGUCGAUAUUUGCAUAAAUUAAAAAAAACACAUAGAUAGCAUAGUCUCCAGCGUCCUCGUCCUAAUGAGUUUUUAAUACUCUGCCGCGCUUCCUGAUUGUCUGUGUGGGAUAGCAAAUAUAUAUAUAACUAUAUAUAAAGGACGUAGAACUACAAAAACCCAUUGCCACAGGAUUUUCGGUUAAUUUAUUGAGCCAGCAACGAGUUUAAAACGUGUCCGAAGCAGACCGAUAAAAAAAUUAGCCGCCAAAGAAAACUAAUUUGCACUCUGAAGCGAACUGAAACGUGGAAAGUUUGUUUGGCUCCCUGGAAAGUUCGUCCUUACUCGGAUUCCGACAAGACACUGGCACACAACAAUUUGCGCUCCUUUCUAACGAGUCCCCAGCGAUUGUUCCGUUCUCCGCCCUCUCCGCACUUCCCAGCCGGUUUGUUGUCUUUUUGCCGUAAGCUUU